UACGGGGGGAGCAAGCGUUGUUCGGAUUUACUGGGCGUAAAGGGCGCGUAGGCGGUCGUGACAAGUCACUUGUGAAAUCUCCGGGCUUAACUCGGAACGGUCAAGUGAUACUGUCGGACUAGAGUACAGAAGGGGCAACUGGAAUUCUCGGUGUAGCGGUGAAAUGCGUAGAGAUCGGGAGGAAUACCAGCAGCGAAGGCGGCAAACUGGAUAGGAACUGACACUCAACUGCGAAAGCGUGGGGAGCAAACAGGG
rnacentral:rRNA from 1 species